UACGUAGGUGGCAAGCGUUGUCCGGAUUUACUGGGCGUAAAGAGCGCGCAGGCGGUCGGAUCAGUCGAAUGUGAAAGCCCCCGGCUUAACUGGGGAGGGUCAUUCGAUACUGUUCGACUCGAAGGCAGGAGAGGGAAGUGGAAUUCCCGGUGUAGUGGUGAAAUGCGUAGAUAUCGCUUGGAACGCCGAAGGUGAAAACAGGCUGCUGGGGUCGCGCCGACGCGUGAGACACGAAAGCCAGGGGGAGCAAACGGG
rnacentral:rRNA from 1 species